rnacentral:rRNA from 1 species
GUCUAUGGCCAUGCCACUCUGAACAAGCCCAAUCCCAUCUGAUCUCAGAAGCUAAGCAGGGUCAGGCCUGGUUUGUACUUGGAUGGGAGACCACCCAGGAAGACCAGGUGCUGUAGGCA